GGAAAGACUAUUUGUGUAUAAUUUACAGCUGAAUGUUUAUUUUUUGCCCCGAUAUUUUGAUAGAAAUAAUUUGUUUUGUUUUGAAAAAGUUGUUCUAGUUUUAUGAAAAAUGACUCAAAUACUCCGAACAAGACUUAAAAAUAUACCUGGGCUCCAAAACUUGUGUAAUAAUAAACCGUUUACAAUAAGUAAAAAACGUGUAUUGAUACAGAAGAAAAAAAUUACUAAAUUUCAGUAAGAUGAAAAAUUAAAAAAAAAAAA